GCAACCGUGGUGCAGUGGUUUAGCAUUCCAGCCUCCCAAGCUGGGGACCUGGGUUCGAACCCCGGCGGUUGCA
rnacentral:tRNA from 3 species